rnacentral:rRNA from 1 species
CCUACGGGGUGCAGCAGUGAGGAAUAUUGGUCAAUGGGCGCGAGCCUGAACCAGCCAAGUCGCGUGAGAGAAGACGGUCCUAUGGAUUGUAAACCUCUUUUGUCGGGGAGCAAAAGACGCCACGCGUGGCGUUCCGAGAGUACCCGAAGAAAAAGCAUCGGCUAACUCCGUGCCAGCAGCCGCGGUAAUACGGAGGAUGCGAUCGGUAUCCGGAUUUAUUGGGUUUAAAGGGUGCGCAGGCGGAAGAUCAAGUCAGCGGGAAAAUUGAGAGGCUCAACCUCUUCGAGCCGUUGAAACUGGUUUUCUUGAGUGAGCGAGAAGUAUGCGGAAUGCGGGGUGUAGCGGUGAAAUGCAUAGAUAUCACGCAGAACUCCGAUUGCGAAGGCAGCAUACCGGCGCUCAACUGACGCUCAUGCACGAAAGUGUGGGUAUCGAACAGGAUUAGAUACCCGUGUAGUC